UUUGUCUACGGGGGGCAGCAGUGGGGGAUAUUGGACAAUGGGGGGAACCCUGAUCCAGCGACGCCGCGUGAGUGAAGAAGUAUUUCGGUAUGUAAAGCUCUGUCAGCAGGGAAGAAAGAAAUGACGGUACCUGACCAAGAAGCCCCGGCUAACUACGUGCCAGCAGCCGCGGUAAUACGUAGGGGGCAAGCGUUAUCCGGAUUUACUGGGUGUAAAGGGAGCGUAGACGGCAGGGCAAGUCUGGAGUGAAAGCCCGGGGCCCAACCCCGGGACUGCUUUGGAAACUGCCAUGCUGGAGUGCUGGG
rnacentral:rRNA from 1 species